rnacentral:piRNA from 1 species
UAAAAGAAAAAUUGGCUGUCUAGUGUGGGC